UUCCGAAUAAUAAUGGAUAACUUUGAACAAGUUAAUACUAAACUUGACGCAGUGCUGAAAAACCAAAUAAUUUUGAGCACCACUAUAAAAGAGAUGAAAAAACCCUAGAAUUCAUUCGAGCAAAUAUAAGGAACACCUUAAUAAGCGUUAUUGCCAGAACGAAGCAGCUCAGGCAAAUUGUGGAUCAGAAAGAAGGACCUGCCCACCACGCUGAGCAUUACGAAUCACAACCUCACUUCGCUCCCCCAAACUAUGCACCACAACAGCAAUAUCCACCUCAAGCAAGCUAUAGCCAACAAUUACGUCAGCCCUUCGACCAGUGACACCUGCUUAUUCAUUAUAGUUUUCAAAGCCACCCCCCCCUCCCCUUCUGUCUGCCCAGCUAUGAUUGAGUCUUUUUCAUUUCUUAUCUUAUAGCCAGCGCCAAUGGAAAUAAAUCAGCUUUCUUGAAAAAAAUUAA